GACGAACGCUGGCGGCGUGCUUAACACAUGCAAGUCGAACGGAAAGGCCCUUCGGGGUACUCGAGUGGCGAACGGGUGAGUAACACGUGGGUGAUCUGCCCUGCACUUUGGGAUAAGCCUGGGAAACUGGGUCUAAUACCGAAUAGGACCGCGCGCUUCAUGGUGUGUGGUGGCAAGCUUUUGCGGUGUGGGAUGGGUCCGCGGCCUAUCAGCUUGUUGGUGGGGUAAUGGCCUACCAAGGCGCCGACGGGUAGCCGGCCUGAGAGUGUGACCGGCCACACGGGGACUGAGAGACGGCCCAGACUCCUACGGGAGGCAGCAGUGGGGAAUAUUGCACAAUGGGCGCAAGCCUGAUGCAGCGACGCCGCGUGAGGGAUGACGGCCUUCGGGUUGUAAACCUCUUUCACCGGGGACGAAGCGCAAGUGACGGUACCUGGAGAAGAAGCACCGGCCAACUACGUG
rnacentral:rRNA from 1 species